AUGAUGAAACCCUACUCUCUCACAGCAAUGUGAGAAUAACAACACUCCAGAUAUGCAUAUCUUUUAUCUUUCUUGUAUGUAGUUACAUGUCGAAUUUCUUCAUUCUUUGAUUCAUUACACUUAAUUCAGGUAUGGUUUGCACCAAUUCAAGAGACUGUACAUUAGGCAUUCAAUACAUAAGACUGGAGUGAGACUAAUUAGGCAUUUAAAUGUGUUACAGGAUGUUGUUUAAAUUGCUUGUCUUAAUAGGUGCACAAGUUGGGAUGGAUUGGACUUCUAUCUUGAGAAAACGCCAUGAUUUCAAAAAUCGUCGCCAACUUCACAGAAAGACAAAUAGCAUCAGUGGCCACAGAUUGCAACCUGGAUUUAAACAAGGUUCGAGGUGCCGUCAACAAUGCUAACAGAAUCCUCCAGGUCAGAUUGUUGAUUGGACUUGAUUUUAUUUAAAUGAUCUUGAUAAUCCAUUUUAUUUAAAUGAGCA